rnacentral:rRNA from 1 species
CCUACGGGUGGCAGCAGUGAGGAAUAUUGGUCAAUGGACGAGAGUCUGAACCAGCCAAGCCGCGUGAAGGAUGACUGCCCUAUGGGUUGUAAACUUCUUUUGUCUGGGAAUAAAAUGUUCCACGUGUGCCAUUUUGUAUGUACCUUAUGAAAAAGGAUCGGCUAACUCCGUGCCAGCAGCCGCGGUAAUACGGAGGAUCCGAGCGUUAUCCGGAUUUAUUGGGUUUAAAGGGUGCGUAGGUGGGUUGUUAAGUCAGUGGGGAAAGUUUGCGGCACAACCGGAGAAUUGCAGUUGAAACUGGCAGUCUUGAGUGCGGGAGAGGUGGGCGGAAUGCGUGGUGUAGCGGUGAAAUGCAUAGAUAUCACGCAGAACCCCGAUUGCGAAGGCAGCUCACUGGACUGCAACUGACGCUGAGGCACGAAAGUGUGGGUAUCAAACAGGAUUAGAUACCCGAGUAGUC